rnacentral:rRNA from 1 species
UACGUAGGGUGCGAGCGUUAAUCGGAAUUACUGGGCGUAAAGCGUGCGCAGGCGGUUUUUCAAGUCUGAUGUGAAAGCCCCGGGCUUAACCUGGGAACUGCGUUGGAAACUGAAAGACUAGAGUGCGGCAGAGGGGGGUAGAAUUCCACGUGUAGCAGUGAAAUGCGUAGAUAUGCGGAGGAACACCGAUGGCGAAGGCAAUCCCCUGGGCCUGCACUGACGCUCAUGCACGAAAGCGUGGGGAGCAAACAGG